GGGGAUGCCUAACUGGCAGUUCGAGCGAGCUUGCCAAGAUGAUUUUAGUGCUUGCACUAAAUGAAACUAGAUACAAGCGAGCGGCGGACGGGUGAGUAACACGUGGGUAACCUGCCCAAGAGACUGGGAUAACACCUGGAAACAGAUGCUAAUACCGGAUAACAACACUAGACGCAUGUCUAGAGUUUGAAAGAUGGUUCUGCUAUCACUCUUGGAUGGACCUGCGGUGCAUUAGCUAGUUGGUAAGGUAACGGCUUACCAAGGCAAUGAUGCAUAGCCGAGUUGAGAGACUGAUCGGCCACAUUGGGACUGAGACACGGCCCAAACUCCUACGGGAGGCAGCAGUAGGGAAUCUUCCACAAUGGACGAAAGUCUGAUGGAGCAACGCCGCGUGAGUGAAGAAGGGUUUCGGCUCGUAAAGCUCUGUUGGUAGUGAAGAAAGAUAGAGGUAGUAACUGGCCUUUAUUUGACGGUAAUUACUUAGAAAGUCACGGCUAACUACGUGCCAGCAGCCGCGGUAAUACGUAGGUGGCAAGCGUUGUCCGGAUUUAUUGGGCGUAAAGCGAGUGCAGGCGGUUCAAUAAGUCUGAUGUGAAAGCCUUCGGCUCAACCGGAGAAUUGCAUCAGAAACUGUUGAACUUGAGUGCAGAAGAGGAGAGUGGAACUCCAUGUGUAGCGGUGGAAUGCGUAGAUAUAUGGAAGAACACCAGUGGCGAAGGCGGCUCUCUGGUCUGCAACUGACGCUGAGGC
rnacentral:rRNA from 1 species